GCCUGCAUUCGAAAGUGAUCUUGGUCUUGUCUGUGGCCGGAUCAUUGAUAGUGCAGGAAGAGAAUUACUGACGGCAUUUCCCGUGUUUGGAGGGUCCAUUCUCAUCCCUACCAAACCCUGAGCUUUUCAGACA